GGCCAGAUGGCGGAGUGGUUAUCGCGACAGACUUGAAUUAAUACGAUAUCUGUUCCUCUAUGAGGGCGUAGGUUCAAAUCCUGCUCUGGUCG